GAGUUUGAUCCUGGCUCAGGAUGAAGUUGGCGGCGUGCCUAACACAUGCAAGUCGAACGAAGGUAUAUAUAGGAAGUCUUCGGAUGGAAUAUGUAUAACUUAGUGGCGGACGGGUGAGUAACGCGUAAGUAAUCAACCUGUGACACACGGAUAACUGAUAGAAAUGUCAGCUAAUACGAGAUGAACUGUUUAAAUUGGGAAAUGGAAACAGCAAAGCGAAAGCGGUCACGGACGAGCUUGCGUCUGAUUAGCUAGUUGGUGGGGUAAGAGCCUACCAAGGCGACGAUCAGUAGCCGGCCUGAGAGGGUGAACGGCCACAUUGGAACUGAGACACGGUCCAAACUCCUACGGGAGGCAGCAGUGGGGGAUAUUGCACAAUGGGGGGAACCCUGAUGCAGCAACGCCGCGUGAGUGAAGAAGGCCCUAGGGUCGUAAAGCUCUGUCGUAUGGGAAGAAACAAAUGACUGUACCAUACAAGAAAGCCCCGGCUAACUACGUGCCAGCAGCCGCGGUAAUACGUAGGGGGCAAGCGUUAUCCGGAAUUACUGGGCGUAAAGGGUGCGUAGGCGGCUAGUUAAGUCGAGGUUAAAAGGCAGUAGCUCAACUACUGUUUGGGCCUUGAAA
rnacentral:rRNA from 1 species